GAGCGAGGGAGGUCGGAUUCUCCCCCUUCCCAGCCUGCCAAGCAGCCAAAAAUUGGAGCCCCACGGGAGGGCUGGGGAAAUAUAAUACUGGUGGAUUUGCUUUGGAGAGGAAAAAAAAUACUAUUUGAGAAGAAGGUUACUUGCAUGACCAGAGAAUGAUUGAGGGACCCCUGUUUUAAAAGAGCUGGAUGCCUAAGCCUGAAUUAAUAAACUAGGAACUGCUGUUGAAACAAUGCAAGGAAUUUCUGCAGGAAAGACAGAAGGGACUCUGGAAAAGCAAGAAGGAAUAAAUGUUUAAGUGGAAAUACAUUUCAUUAUGACUCUGCCAGUUUCUUGGUUUGGAAGGAUGGAGGUACAUCUGGCAGAUGACUUCAGUUUUCAGAGGCACUAAACUGCAAAUUUCAAUAAAUUAGUAGCUGGGACAGAAGAAGAUCCAAACUAGUUUUUCCUGAGGGAAAAGUUGGAGCAGAAAGUCAAAUACAUGAUCAGAAACCAGAGUAGCAAGGCAGUGGAAGUGCUCUAGUCUUGAAGCAAGUCUUGGCCAGAAUUUGGUAUUCAGAGGAGAGCUCAGCCACAAAACCUGGAGCACCAGGGUGUCAGGCUUCAGGUGUUGCACUGAUCAUGGAAUGAUUCACACUCCUAGGGAGGAGGAAGACUUGUGAAUGAAGUAUUUCUUUGUAGAUACAGACUUUUUCUCAUUUCCUUAUUUGAAGAGAAUGACAAAUUUUAGUCUGAAAACAUUAAAAGAAUGUGAAGAAAAUGCUUUUAUUUUCCUGAAUUUUCUAGACAACACUGGAACACAUCCCUUCACUUUCUUUUCUGAAGUCCUUCUAUUCAUUCAUUUGCCUAAUGAUCCCAUACUUUUUUCUUUUUAUUUAUGAAUGAUAAGUAAGAACUCUUUGAUAUUUUUUUUUAUUACAUCAAAAUACAAACGUUGGCAGAAUUAAGUAAUUUGUGCCAGAGAUCACCUUAUUGUCAUCACUUAUAACAAAAGAUUAGGGACUGUAAAUGGUAACUGCGGAGUGGUGAAAACAAAUUUAGUUUCCUAUGCAAAGACUUUUUUUCCUGUCUUUCCAUCACUGUAAAUGUAUGUACAAUUCCUCUUUUGGACAGGAGCCUCUCAUCUUUUGACCUUAGAAAAGGUUGGGUUUUCUUUUUAUUGUCAAAGAGUCGAGGGGACAAAUGCAAGGUGUGGAACAACUGAGUAGGCAGCAAAUCUCCAAAAGGGAAUUUGUGAGUCAGCAGAUCCAUCCUGAUGAAAAAAGGAAUCCUGUAAAGAUGAGGGGUGCUAUAGAAGGUACGGGAGGUAAUACCUCUUUCCCAUGUGGAUAAAGCCCCAUCUGGGAUCCUGUGUCUGGGUAAGUGCAGGUAACAGCUGGAGAAAUGACCCUUGCCAACUGGCAAAAAUACAGAGAUGAACACCAAGAAUUAUUAGAGGUCCAGAAAACACAACUUGUGAGACAGGAGCAAAGGAGCUGGGUUUGUUUAGUCUAGGGAAGGGAGGAAUGUGCAGAGACAUGAUAAUAGCCACCAGGAACAGGACAAGACAAGAUGUGUUUGAAUUGCCUCAACAGAGAGAGGGUGGGAAUUAGGGGAAAAAAAGCAGCUUUUUAAUGGCAAGAUAUUGAAGGGCUGGAUUAGUUUCCUUCAGGAAUUUGUGGAGGCUUUCACUGGAGGUUUAAAGAGCAAUUUAGACAAACAUUUGCCAGUCAGCUCUAGCUGCUGCCUGUUACCAGUUUUGGGGGAGAUGCUCACAGCUUCAGGAAAUUAACAGCAGGGAAUAACUUCACAUUGGAAAGAUAUUCAUCAUACGGCAUCUGUGCAUGAGCGGAUGUAAUUUGAAGACUUCUGUGAUGUACAGCUCAUCAAAAGCCAUUUUCCACACUGGAAAUGAUGACAACCCAAAGUAUGGGCUUGUGCUAGCCAGUCUUGAUGUUGUCAUGUUGUCUUGGGGGUUUGGUCAACUUUAAAAAGAAAUUUCAUUGCCACUGCUUGAAGAAAAAAGAAAAAAAAAGAAAAUAAACUACCAUAUUGUUACCAAUCUUCAACUGGCUAUCAGUUUGCUACAUGGAACUGCAAAGUGACAUCUAAGUUGUGAUUUAUUUUUAAAAAUUAAGGGCAGGCCCAUUAUGCCAGCCCUAAAAGACUCUGGGUGUUUGCAAUGGCCAAUUACUGUGGAAACUGCUGAAACAAAUAAAUGUUUGGAUAAGGAUCUGGAACAAACGCCUUCAUUUUUUAAAGAAUUCUUGCAAAAUAUCACUAGACCAAGAAAUCCCAACCACUCAUCUGCUUGUUGCUACAUCUAUAUCCUUCUCUGGAAUUCUUCGCUGCAGAUCUACAAAGGAAUAAAUGAAAAACUGCUGUUCUCCCACUUAACCUAUAGCAAGCAGCCUUUAAAAACAACUCAUCUGUUACAUUCCAGCCAUAUUUAGCUGUUUUUAUCAGAGCUGUGCGGUAGGAAAUGAUUUGUGGGGGUUUUGAAAGACUGAAAUAUGAGGAUAUUCAAGUCCUGCUUUGAAUCCAAUAUAAUCCCGCACAUGAACUUGUCCCAUUGAAAUCAGGUUCAUAAAAGCAUACCUGUACACACCCUUCCUCAAGUCAAUUCUAAAUGCCUCUGGUACUGCAGUCCUGCUUGAUGGGGCAGAUCUUGCUUCUCCAGGGAAAAACAGAGCAUGGCAAGAACCCAGUGUCUUGCCAUUCUGUGCUAUUCCCUUUCCAAACAGUGGGAACGGAACAAAAUGUAAGAAAACUAGAAAAGAAAAUGCAUAGGUGGCACAUAAAUAAAACCAGUGCAUUUUAUUACUUAAAAAUUCAUGCAGACAUACACACAGACAUAAUUUUACACAAAAUGAAAGGGAGACUGAAGUAUUAGACUGAAGUAUUUGCUUUUUCAGAAGUUUUGAAAGCAAUAUUUGCUUUAUGUAGAUUCAAAUAAAGAAAGAUAAAUCCUAUUUUUUUAUUAACACAACAUCAAAGUCCACAUACAACAUGUUCUAUGUGUGAGUUACUAAUUCUCUUUUCAUCCUUAAAUGUAUUUAUUAGCUCUGUCUAGGUUUACAUUAAUAUUGUGACACACACACACAAAUGUAUUUUAUCCCAUUUACAGAUGCAGCUUUUGUGGUUUUAUUGCUGCAAUAACAGGCUUCCCAAGCAAUGGGGUUCCAAAUCAAUGUGCUAUUUAUUGUGUUAUCUAUGUUCAUGUUUCUCAUUUCUGUUUAUCAUGCUAUCUAUGUUCAUGUUUCUCAUUUCCAGUUGCAAAAAAAAAAGCUUCUUGGUUCUGUGAAUAUAACAUGCAUGCUCACCCAGCAAAGCACUGAAAUCAGAUUUAUCAUCCUCAUUUUAAUGUCCCCACUGCCUCUGAUUAGGGCUGACUAGGGAGCAUCAUACUGGUAAUUAACAUGUUUCUGUUUUUUAAAGAUAUACUUCUCGUAAGAAGCAUAAAAAACUAUAUUUUUUUUAUGUGAAAGUAUUUUAACACUUGAAAUAUGAAAGUUUAUGAAUGUAUGUCAUUUUAUUAAAAGUCUAAACCAAAACUCAUCAAUGUCCCUAUCUUGGAUAUAUAAAGUAUAGAAAUGCAUAUAAACCAUCACAAAUUAAAAAUUAACAUCUAACAAGGCAAAUCAUGUUAAUUUUCAGUUAUGAUAGCAAAAAAUCUUCCCUCUUGUUUAUUUGUUUUACUGAUUUAUGCAGUAGCUUUUUUUGCUAGAGGCUCAUGAUGUGAGAGAACAGCACAGUCCUGCAGUCCUUCCCACAGAAAUGGUGCCAAAGGACAUUCCAGAACUGGGGACAGUAAAAAAGAUUGAAAUUAAAUUUAAAAGUAUUAGCAAAAAUAUUAGCAUGACAAAAUUCAAACAAAUAAGUAUGCUAUAUUUAGGCAGAGUGGACAAAACACUGGAGAGAACAGAGAGAGACGUGAGAGAGAACUCAUUUAGGUACUCUGAGCAGGAGACUCUUUAUGAUUAAGCCUUCUGGAACCAAGCUAAAUUAAAUAUAAUUUAUAAAUACAAUUUAUAAACAGAAUUAAUAAAUAUAAUGCAUAAAUAUACUUCACAAAUAUAAAUUAAAUACACCUCUUCAGCCAUUUUAAAUCCAGGUGUCUUUAGGCACCACAAGGAUAUAGAUGUGCUUCAGCCUAUGUCACACAGUAGGUGAGCAGUAACACCAGGAACAAACCCCACAUUUACUGCUAGACCACACAGAAUUAAGCCCAGGAUGGAUGGCUGAAAUAUCAGGCACCAAAGAGUGAAAUAAGAAGAUCAAAUGUACUUUUCCAAAUGCUUUGCAAAAUAAAAUAGUGGGUUUUUUUCCCAGCACUCCAAUCCCGUAAGCACCCUUUUGUUUUCAGUGCUUGGUGAUAUUGGGUUUCAGUUUGUGGUUUUGCUAUUGUUCUUCCAAAUGAAGUAAAGAAACAUACACUAAAUAAAAUGAGGGGUGCAGUUGACCUCCAACAUUUCAUGAAAGGGCUUGUUAUGUUUACCGCAUUUAAAUGAAAAUCUACUUUGGCUGGAGCAGCAAAAUAAAAGAGCAGAAGGAACAAGGUAGUUGGAUGAUCGAGAGUUUUCCUAACAGCAAACACUUUUCAAGGUGGGCCGAGAUUAUGGGACCAAAUAUUGAAACUUGGCAGAGAUCUAAAUUCACUGGAAACUCUGUGUUUGCCUCUGAGGCAAAUGUCCUGGGCUGAUUUUACUCUUCUCCUUCCCUAUUUUCUCUUGACUUCUGGGACAACACAUGCACCUAUUUACUACCAGCCAACCAACCUACACGGUUAACUAUUCUACUUUCAAACACUCAGAUGGAACAACUCAUGUAUAUACCAGCUCUUGACACUGAUCGUGCCGUAAUCAAACCUCUCCUGAUGGGAGAGAGUUUUUAAAGUCCUUGCUAGGAGUU